rnacentral:rRNA from 1 species
UACGAAGGGGGCUAGCGUUGCUCGGAUUCAUUGGGCGUAAAGGGUGCGUAGGCGGCGCGGUAAGUCGGGUGUGAAAUCUCGGAGCUUAACUCCGAAACUGCAUUCGAUACUGCCGUGCUUGAGGACUGGAGAGGAGACUGGAAUUUACGGUGUAGCGGUGAAAUGCGUAGAUAUCGUAAGGAAGACCAGUGGCGAAGGCGGGUCUCUGGGACGGUACUGACGCUGAGACGCGAAAGCGUGGGGAGCGAACAGG